rnacentral:rRNA from 1 species
GACGAACGCUGGCGGCGUGCUUAACACAUGCAAGUCGAACGGAAAGGCCCUGCUUUUGUGGGGUGCUCGAGUGGCGAAGGGGUGAGUAACACGUGAGUAACCUGCUCUUGACUUUGGGAUAACUUCAGGAAACUGGGGCUAAUACCGGAUAGGAGCCCCUGCUGCAUGGUGGGGGUUGGAUAGUCGCGGCGGGUGGGGAUGGACGCGCGGCUUAUCAGCUUGUUGGUGGGGGAGUGGCUUACCAAGGCAUGGACGGGUAGCCGGCCUGAGAGGGGGACCGGCCACAAUGGGACUGAGAGACGGCCCAGACUCCUACGGGGGGCAGCAGUCGGGAAUAUUGCACAAUGGUCGGAAGCCUGAUGCAGCAGCGCCGCGUUCGUGAUGACGGCCUGCUGGUUGUAAACCGCUUUCGCCUGUGACGAAGCGUUAGUGACGGUAAUGGGUAAAGAAGCACCGGCUAACUACGUG